rnacentral:rRNA from 1 species
GAAGCGGGAAGAGCUCAAAUUUAAAAUCUGGCGGUCUACCCGUCCGAGUUGUAGUCUAGAGAAGCAUCAUCUACGCUGGACCAUGUACAAGUCUCUUGGAACAGAGCGUCAUAGAGGGUGAGAAUCCCGUCCUUGACAUGGACUCCCAGUGUUCUGUGUUGUGCUCUCAACGAGUCGAGUUGUUUGGGAAUGCAGCUCAAAAUGGGUGGUAAAUUCCAUCUAAAGCUAAAUAUUGGCGAGAGACCGAUAGCGAACAAGUACCGUGAGGGAAAGAUGAAAAGCACUUUGGAGAGAGAGUUAAACAGUACGUGAAAUUGUUGAAAUGGAAACGCUUGAAGUCAGUCGCGUUCUCUGGGAUUCAGCCUUGCUUUUGCUUGGUGCAUUUCCUAGUCUACGGGCCAGCAUGGAUUUUGACCGUUGGAAAAGGGCUGGGGGAAUGUGGCACUUUCGGGUGUGUUAUAGCCCCCUG